rnacentral:rRNA from 1 species
CCUACGUGCGGCAGCAGUGAGGAAUAUUGGUCAAUGGGCUUACGCCUGAACCAGCCAAGUCGCGUGAGGGAAGACUGCCCUAUGGGUUGUAAACCUCUUUUGUCAGGGAGCAAUUGGCGCUACGUGUAGCGUUAUCGAGAGUACCUGAAGAAAAAGCAUCGGCUAACUCCGUGCCAGCAGCCGCGGUAAUACGGAGGAUGCGCGCGUUAUCCGGAUUUAUUGGGUUUAAGGGGUGCGUAGGCGGAAUGCCAAGUCAGCGGGAAAAUCGCGGGGCUCAAGCUCGCUCCGCCGUUGAAACUGGCGGUCGUGAGUGGGAGAGAAGUAUGCGGAAUGCGUGGUGUAGCGGUGAAAUGCAUAGAUAUCACGCAGAACUCCGAUUGCGAAGGCAGCAUACCGGCGCCCAACUGACGCUGAAGCACGAAAGCGUGGGUAUCGAACAGGAUUAGAUACCCUAGUAGUC